AUGCUCGCCCACACGCGCCUCCCGCCUCCGGCUCCGCAUCCCGCCCAAAUCCUGCCCGCCCGCCUUGCCGGAGGCGGCGGUGUGGAGUUCCGCCGCAAGGUCCACUUCCUCUCGGCCGAGCUCCAUCUCGACCCGUUCCCGCUCCUCGCCCUUCAUCCUGAGCUCCGCUCCGCGCCGCUCGCGCUUCUCCAUGCCUCCCUCCGCCUCCUCCUCUCACACGGACUCUCCGCCGGCGACGCCUCCCGCGUCUUUUCGGCAUUCCCGUCGCUCCUCACCUCUCCUCCUGAGGAGUCCCUCCGCUUCCUCUCCGCCGCCGCGCCGCUGCCCCCUCCUCUCCUCCGCGCCGCGGUGGUCCGUUCCCCUCGCCUCCUCGCAGCGUCCAUCCCGGACACCCUCCGCCCCGCGCUUUACUUCCUUCGCCACCGCGUUUCCCUGCGACGGAGACCCCUUCCGCUCGCUGCUGCCCUGCUCCUCGCUUUCUCCGUCGACCGCACACUCCUCCCCAAGGUCCUCUUCCUUGGCAAAGCCACGGGGCUCCCAGACCCCGCCAUCUGCACCAUUAUUCGCCGCGCCCCCGCCAUUCUCUCCUAUGGUAUCGAGACCAACCUCACGCCCAAGCUCAAGUUCCUCGCCGACGGCAUGGGCAUGGACCCAGCCGCGGAGCUUACCGAGUUCCCACACUACUUCGCGUUCAGCUUGGAGGGGAGGAUCAGGCCGAGGCACCAAGCAUUGAGGCUGAGGGGCAUUGAUAUGUCACUAAAGGAAAUGCUCACGAGCAGCGAUGAUGAGUUCAAGGAGCGGAUUUUAGAUGCAACGCUGUCGGGCAAUAUGCAGAAGAUGUGA
rnacentral:rRNA from 1 species